GGAGGAUCCCUGCCCGGAGGGGUUGGCCCUGGUGAGGGAGCCCGGGAAGGCAUGGGGCCGGCAAUGCGGAGGCCGCUGCCUCGCGUGCGCCCCCUGUCGGGGGAGUCGUACCUGGCCUCCUGGGGUGGAUGCCAGCCCUUCGCCCCUGCAGACCGCCCCGUGGUUCCCGCCUACGCCCCGUGCCGCCCUGGGCGCCUCCAGCGCCACCUCCUGAGCGGCGAGUUCGACCAGCUGCGCGACUUCCCCAUCUUCGAGAGCAACUUCGUGCAGGUGACCCGGUUUGGAGAAGUCGCCAACAAGGUCACCAUGGGGGUGGCAGCCUCUAGUCCAGCCCUGGAACUGCCAGACCUGCUGCUGCUGGCUGGCCCUGACAAGGAGAGUGGACGCCUGCAGCUCCUCGGGCUCUUCCCCUUGCAGUUCGUGCAGCUGUUCGUGCAUGAUGAGAGCCGCCACCAGCUCAAGGUCAAGUUCCGCACUGGCCGCGCCUUCUACCUGCAGCUGCGCGCGUCUGCAGAGACCCGCGACCGCGAGUUCGGCCGCUGGGUGCGUCUGCUCUACCGCCUGCGCUUCCACUCGCCCGCCAGCGCCGUUCCCUUCACCCACGAGGACACCGCGCCUGAGGAGGACGAGGAGGAGGAGGGCGAGCAGGGACAGUUGCAGCCCCCGGAGGGAUUCUAAGGAGGCGACAGGGUCUGGCAGCCAAGUGGGAACUGUGUGGCUGGUAUUCCUAGCCCAACUGCCUGUAGGUUCUCGAGAGGGAGCACACAGCCCUCCCCCAGCCUCCUCUUGACUCCAAGUGGGGUCUAGAGAGGAAAGCCAUUGAAGGGGUGGGCUCAGCCUGGCCACACAUGCCCAGUUCCCUGAAAGGGGAACAGGAGAGGCCAGUUCUGGAAGCGUCAAGCCAUAGAGGCCAGACUGGACCCGCAGGUCUCAGAACUCUGGGGGCUCUGAUUCGGACAAGAUCCUUCCAGAUCGCCAAAGGACCGGAGAUCAAGCCAGCUCAGCUCAGAGCCAGAGAUGGAUUUUAAAGUUAAUAAAGAUCGGGCUCUUAAAAACCAA